UGGGGAAUUUUGGACAAUGGGCGAAAGCCUGAUCCAGCCAUGCCGCGUGAAUGAAGAAGGCCUUCGAAUUGUAAAGCUCUUUUAGUCGGAAAGAAAGAGUCGCAAUGAAUAAUUGUGAUUUAUGACGGUACCGACAGAAAAAGCACCGGCUAACUACGUGCCAGCAGCCGCGGUAAUACGUAGGAUGCGAGCGUUAAUCGGAAUUACUGGGCGUAAAGAAUGCACAGGCGGUUUUGCAAGUCAGAUGUGAAAGCCCCGGGCUUAACCUGGGAAUUGCGUUUGAAACUACAAGGCUAGAGUGCAGCAGAGGGGAGUGGAAUUCCAUGUGUAACAGUGAAAUGCGUAGAGAUGUGGAAGAACACCGAUGGCGAAGGCAGCUCCCGUGGGUUGACACGUGACGCU
rnacentral:rRNA from 1 species